CAUGAAUUCUUGGAUUGGGUUGUGCUACCAUGAAUUGUUGGGUUGGAUUGUGCUACUGUGAGUUGUUGGAUUGGGCUGUGCCUACCAUGAGUUGUUGGAUUGAACCUUUCUGCUGAAUCAUUUCUUUGGUCUGUCUCAGUAAGGUGGAAGCACUCAGAAGCAGAGACCUCGCUUUUGUAACGCGUUGUUGCAAACUCAGGCACGAAUUUGGACACAUUCCCCAAGUUGAACCAGCACGUCCUCCCCGGCCCCCCAGAUCCUGCAGCUUGCAGUUCAUCAAGCCCUUAUUGAUCCAGAGGCGAAUGUUUGAGCGAGGAGAGCUGGCUGCCUCAUUGGCUCUGUUUCACACAAGGUGGUACUGCUCUUGUUAUUCAUACUGCAUCCAAAAAGAUGGCACACAGCUGGAAAAACAGCUCCGGCCACCGGUGGGGCUGGGAGACAGCUGGCUUUGGGGAGCUCUGCGGAUGGUGGAAGGGCUGUGCUGCCUCACUGGGGAGGCAAUGUUGCUCAUCCAGCACCUCUUGUGAUCCCAGCUGAUCAGCAACAUGCGUCUGCCUAAAAAUGUUGCCUUCCCAUUGAGCAGGAGACUGCUGCACGAGCAUCGGGGAGACCGUCCGUGAUGCGAGGUUGCUGGUGGGAAGCGGUGCAGCGAGGAGAGCUAACAGGACUCCAGGCUUCGUCGGUGCAACAGGCAUCCACCAUAAUGUGCCACAGGGCAAGGAUGAAGGAGGCUGUGACAUUGGUGGUCUCUGAAGGUUCCCACAUCAGCAGAACAUGCCUCGUGCCUCUGGAGAAAACGUGCUCUUGGAGAAGCCUGCUGCACAAAUGCUCUGGCUUUGGAGGGCUCCCGUGGGAGCAUGAGCAGCCUGAUCCUGCUUGGGGUGCCUGCUGGAACACAACCAUGGUGAUCCUGGGAUAAAAGCAAGGAGUUUGGUGUCCCAGUCCAGCUGGAAAUAGGAAGAUUCUCCAUAAUGCUAUGGCUGUUCCAGGAGACAGAGGGUCUGGCUGGACUGUAUUUCAGCAUGAUGGGACCUUUUGGUAGCUCCCCAAACUGUCUUCUCUGAAGCUGCACGGAGGAGUCCACCGUGCUGGAUGUGAUCUGUUGAGCUGCCAAAUCCAAAACCUGGUUCCAGAGAACAGAAAUAAACUCCAGGGGUGGGAAUCUUCCCCAGGAGAAGGAAGGAGACAACCAGAUGGGCUUUUGGAGCUUUCUUCCUUCCUUUAUUUUUAUAAACAUAAAAAGAAGUUGGACAAGGCCAUGGAUUUAUAGCUGGUCUUGGAAGAGCAGAUAUUGCUUGUUUGGGGGGAGUUUUGGUAUUGCAGUUGUUACUCAGUGGGAGACAUUCCCAUAAAGCUCCUCUGGACUUGGACAUGGAUAGCAUUAAAGCAGGUGUCCAUUUUUAAGAGAUUCUGGAGCUCUGAUGUUUCUUUCAUGUCCCAACUGAGCGUAAAAUUGUCAGUCAGGCUCUUAUGGGUCAUCCAGCUCCAAUGGGCAGUGCUUUCCUGGGGGGUGAAUGCAGGGAAAGCUGAAAUUCCACACUAUUUAGUAAAAGGGGACGGAGGGAAACCCCUUUUGACUCCCAAAUAAAUCUUCAGCUCUACACAAACAAUCACAAUCCUCCCUCAGCUCUUUGUAUCCUUUGGGCAAAGCUUCCUCAGCCAAAGAGGCCAUUGACUGUCCAAGUGUUUUUUUAAUGCUUGAUUUAAAGCAAGUGGUAAUGGAUCAUUGCAUCCCCAGGAAAGGACUGUCUGUUCUUCUUGCACCUCCAUCCUUCCUUACACAGUCCCUGAAGGAGCCACGUUGAAGAGUAGACCAGGUCCAAAUAUGCUGGGAGAAGAAGACUCAUUUUUUGGGGCUGGGGCUCAGCAGGGCAAUCUGUUGUUCAGUCUGUAUAUCACUUUGCAUGGACUGCCACAUGACAGCUCCAUCGCAAUAUUUGUGAGGAAUCACUUCCUGAGCAUCUUGUGUUGCACUAACAUCAAUGCUUUAGUGUUGCAAAGGGAGAGCAGGGGUUAAGUGUUGCUAGCUGUAGGUCGGAAAACAUGACAAUCUGAAUUCCUCAUCUUUUCAUUAAAAAACACACAGUGAUUUACAGCUGACAGACUGUUUCAUUA